rnacentral:rRNA from 1 species
UACAGAGGGGGCAAGCGUUGUUCGGAAUUACUGGGCGUAAAGGGCGCGUAGGCGGCCGCCUAAGUCAGACGUGAAAUCCCUCGGCUCAACCGGGGAACUGCGUCUGAUACUGGCAGGCUUGAAUCCGGGAGAGGGAUGCGGAAUUCCAGGUGUAGCGGUGAAAUGCGUAGAUAUCUGGAGGAACACCGGUGGCGAAGGCGGCAGUCCUGGACCGGCAUUGACGCUGAGGCGCGAAAGCCAGGGGAGCAAAGCGGG